AAGCAGUUCCUAUGGGUGGCAGCAGUAAGGAAUAUUGGUCAAUGGAGGGAACUAUGAGCCAGCCAUGCCGCGUGCAGGAAGACUGCCCUAUGGGUUGUAAACUGCUUUUAUCCGGGAAUAAACCUACUUACGUGUAAGUAGCUGAAUGUACCGGUAGUAUAAGGAUCGGCUAACUCCGUGCCAGCAGCCGCGGUAAUACGGAGGAUCCAAGCGUUAUCCGGAUUUAUUGGGUUUAAAGGGUGCGUAGGCGGCCUGUUAAGUCAGGGGUGAAAGACGGUAGAUCAACUAUCGCAGUGCCCUGGAUAGUGAUGGGCUGGAAUGGAUUAAAGGAAGGG
rnacentral:rRNA from 1 species